UACGAGGGGUGCAAGCGUUGCUCGGAAUUAUUGGGCGUAAAGGGUUGGUAGGUGGUCUCAUUUGUCGGGGGUGAAAUCCUUGGGCUUAACUCAAGAAGUGCCCCCGAAACGGUGAGACUGGAGUCUUGGAGAGGGUCGCGGAAUACCCGGUGUAGCGGUGAAAUGCGUAGAGAUCGGGUGGAACACCAGAGGCGAAGGCGGCGACCUGGACAAGUACUGACACUCAACAACGAAAGCGUGGGGAGCAAACAGG
rnacentral:rRNA from 1 species